GUGAGGAAUAUUGGUCAAUGGGCGGGAGCCUGAACCAGCCAAGUCGCGUGAAGGAAGAAGGAUCUAUGGUUCGUAAACUUCUUUUGCAGGGGAAUAAAGUGCAGGACGUGUCCUGUUUUGUAUGUACCCUGAGAAUAAGGAUCGGCUAACUCCGUGCCAGCAGCCGCGGUAAUACGGAGGAUCCGAGCGUUAUCCGGAUUUAUUGGGUUUAAAGGGUGCGUAGGUAGUUUGAUAAGUCAGCGGUGAAAGUUUGCAGCUUAACUGUAAAAAUGCCGUUGAAACUGUCGGACUUGAGUGUAAAUGAGGUAGGCGGAAUGCGUGGUGUAGCGGUGAAAUGCAUAGAUAUCACGCAGAACUCCGAUUGCGAAGGCAGCUUACUAAGCUACAACUGACACUGAAGCACGAAAGCGUGGGGAUCAAACAGGAUUAGAAACCCGUGUAGUCC
rnacentral:rRNA from 1 species